rnacentral:rRNA from 1 species
GUGAGGAAUAUUGGUCAAUGGGCGGGAGCCUGAACCAGCCAAGUCGUGUGAAGGAAGAAGGAUCUAUGGUUCGUAAACUUCUUUUGCAGGGGAAUAAAGUGCAGGACGUGUCCUGUUUUGUAUGUACCCUGAGAAUAAGGAUCGGCUAACUCCGUGCCAGCAGCCGCGGUAAUACGGAGGAUCCGAGCGUUAUCCGGAUUUAUUGGGUUUAAAGGGUGCGUAGGUGGUUUGAUAAGUCAGCGGUGAAAGUUUGCAGCUUAACUGUAAAAAUGCCGUUGAAACUGUCGGACUUGAGUGUAAAUGAGGUAGGCGGAAUGCGUGGUGUAGCGGUGAAAUGCAUAGAUAUCACGCAGAACUCCGAUUGCGAAGGCAGCUUACUAAGCUACAACUGACACUGAAGCACGAAAGCGUGGGGAUCAAACAGGAUUAGAAACCCGGGUAGUCC